rnacentral:rRNA from 1 species
AUUGAACGCUGGCGGCAGGCUUAACACAUGCAAGUCGAGCGGAGAUGAGGUGCUUGCACCUUAUCUUAGCGGCGGACGGGUGAGUAAUGCUUAGGAAUCUGCCUAUUAGUGGGGGACAACAUUCCGAAAGGAAUGCUAAUACCGCAUACGUCCUACGGGAGAAAGCAGGGGAUCUUCGGACCUUGCGCUAAUAGAUGAGCCUAAGUCGGAUUAGCUAGUUGGUGGGGUAAAGGCCUACCAAGGCGACGAUCUGUAGCGGGUCUGAGAGGAUGAGCCGCCACACUGGGACUGAGACACGGCCCAGACUCCUACGGGAGGCAGCAGUGGGGAAUAUUGGACAAUGGGGGAAACCCUGAUCCAGCCAUGCCGCGUGUGUGAAGAGGGCCUUAUGGUUGUAAAGCACUUUAAGCGAGGAGGAGGCUACUGAGACUAAUACUCUUGGAUAGUGGACGUUACUCGCAGAAUAAGCACCGGCUAGCUCUGUGCCAGCCGCCGCGGUAACAC